rnacentral:rRNA from 1 species
GUAACCGGCUCACCAAGGCGACGACUGGUAGCCGGCCUGAGAGGGCGACCGGCCACACUGGGACUGAGACACGGCCCAGACUCCUACGGGAGGCAGCAGUGGGGAAUAUUGCACAAUGGGCGGAAGCCUGAUGCAGCGACGCCGCGUGAGGGAUGACGGCCUUCGGGUUGUAAACCUCUUUCGCCGGGGACGAAGCCGUGAGGUGACGGUACCUGGAUAAGAAGCACCGGCUAACUACGUGCCAGCAGCCGCGGUAAUACUGGGGGAGCGAGCGUUGUUCGGAAUUACUGGGCGUAAAGGGCGCGUAGGCGGCUUGGUCAGUCGCGUGUGAAAGGCCGGGGCUCAACCCCGAGCAUUGCACGUGAUACUGCCUGGCUCGAGAGAGGUAGGGGCGAGUGGAAUUCCCGGUGUAGCGGUGGAAUGCGUAGAUAUCGGGAGGAACACCUGUGGCGAAGGCGGCUCGCUGGACCUUUUCUGACGCUGAAGCGCGAAAGCGUGGGUAGCAAACAGGAUUAGAUACCCUGGUAGUCCACGCCGUAAACGAUGGGUAC